rnacentral:rRNA from 1 species
GAUGAACGCUAGCGGCAGGCCUAACACAUGCAAGUCGAGGGGUAGAGUUCUUCGGGACUUGAGACCGGCGCACGGGUGCGUAACGCGUAUGCAAUCUACCUUAUACAGGGGAAUAGCCCAGAGAAAUUUGGAUUAAUGCCCCAUAGUGUUAUCGAAUCGCAUGGUUUGAUAACUAAAGUUCCAACGGUAUAAGAUGAGCAUGUGUCCCAUUAGUUAGUUGGUAAGGUAACGGCUUACCAAGACAAUGAUGGGUAGGGGUCCUGAGAGGGAGAUCCCCCACACUGGUACUGAGACACGGACCAGACUCCUACGGGAGGCAGCAGUGAGGAAUAUUGGUCAAUGGGCGCAAGCCUGAACCAGCCAUGCCGCGUGCAGGAA